UACGGAGGGAGCUAGCGUUGUUCGGAAUUACUGGGCGUAAAGCGCACGUAGGCGGCUUUGUAAGUUAGAGGUGAAAGCCCAGGGCUCAACCCUGGAAUUGCCUUUUAAGACUGCAUCGCUUGAACAUCGGAGAGGUAAGUGGAAAUUCCUAGUGUAGAGGUGAAAAUUCGUAGAUAUUAGGAAGAAACACCAGUGGCGAAGGCGGCUCACUGGCCCCGGUACUGACGCUGAGGCGCGAAAAGCGUGGGGAGCAAACAGG
rnacentral:rRNA from 1 species